GCCCCCACGACUGCUUAGCUUCUGGAAACCGUCCCAGGAGCACUUGACUAUCACCCUCAAGCAAGGAGCAAAUCCCGGAGACAGAUGUGUCCCGCAGGAGCUGGAACAGAAGUCCAGGACCACAGCACAGGUAUCAGGAAGAGCAACUACUAAAACAUAGCAACAGCACAGCUGAUUAAAAGCCACUCUCAUGAAGAUAUUUAUUUGGAAUAUAGAAUGAAUAACUAUUGAAUACUUGACCGUGACAUGUAAUAAUCAUUGAGUGACCGGCCCAUUGCUGACGAUGUUCUAAGUUCUCCGCAUGGACAUUGUCUUGUUUCAGCUGCAUGACUACACAACCUGUUUGACAGGCUGGUGCUGAAGCCAGACGACUCGUGCCAUGAUGCGGGUGUGAAAAUGCUGGCUCUGGUGUGCAAAGAGCCUCACAGCAUCCAACCUAAAGGAAACAAGCAAGGACUUCCAAGGAAGAGAGAGUCUAAAGACCAGUGAGAGUCAGAAUGGCUACUAUAGAGAAUAUACCGGCUCCUGGUACUGAGGGCAUCUGGCGAUGAAAGGAGACAGAGACAGAGACCCACACUGGAGCACCAGACUGAAAUCUCAAGGUCCAAAUCAGGAGCAGAAGGAGAAAGAGCACGAGCAAGGAACUCAGGACCGCGAGGGGUGCACCCACACACUGAUACAAUGGGGAUGUUCUAUCAGGAACUCACCAAGGCCAGCUGGCUUGGGUCUGAAAUUGCAUGGGAUAAAACCGGACUCGCUGAACAUAGCGGACAAUGAGGACUACUGAGAACUCAAGAACAAUGGCAAUGGGUUUUUGAUCCUAUUGUAUGUACUGGCUUUGUGGGAGCCUAGGCAGUUUGGAUGCUCACCUUACUAGACCUGGAUGGAGGUGGGUGGUCCUUGGACUUCCCACAGGGCAGGGAACCCUGAUUGCUCUUAGGGCUG